CUUAAUUCUAUUGGCGGUUGGUUAACCUUUCACAGGAAUUUGCUAUUUUUGAUAGAUAUCCCGCUUUUAUUUUUACUACUUUUUAUUUUAUGUACGGCUGUUUUAUUUUAAUUUAAGGAUUUUUAUACAAAAAUUUUUUUUUAAUAUCAGGUCAAUGUGUAGAUUAUAAAGUAGAUUUUAGUGAGUUACUUUAAUAAGUUUAACUUUUUAAUUAGUUUUUAAAAUGGAUGUGAUAGUAAAUUUAUAAUAAAAUUUUUUAUUGAUUAAGGUCCUAAUCGAAGUACAUAUCGCCCGUCACUCUUUUUACAG
rnacentral:rRNA from 1 species